rnacentral:snoRNA from 1 species
AUGACCGUACUUACACAGGAUCUUUUCUAUAGUACCUUCUUUUCUACUUGGUUUUCCAUUGUAGACAACCUCAAUAACUUUGAUGAUCGUAUUAGACCCUGCUCAUUGACUCGGGAUGUCGAGACGGCCGAAAGUCCUCUUUUGGACUGGAUGCCUCUCCUUGAUGAACGUCCGCUGUCGCUAUUCCAAGGCAGCGUGAGUGAGCACGGGUAAUAUGAGAAGUU